CAGGAAGACGAACUGAAGCUCUUCGUGAGAUCAUUGCUUCACCAAGAGGACGAUGCCAAGUUAAAGGACGAGCUGAGGGAAGUGCUUGAGGUGAUGGAUGAGUCGCCGGGUUUCGAACUGUGUCGGAUGUUCACGCUGGGUCGAGCACGCAUCUUGGACAUCUUCAGUUUCAUGGCGACGUAUCUCAUCAUUCUCCUUCAAUUCCGCGUCAAUGAGGCGUGCGGGAUGGAGGGGCCGGGGAACUCCACGCUGGAGUUUUAGAUCCGACGACUCGGGUACAAAGGGUCAGCGAUAGGAGCCAGAAACUAGAAUAAUGAUGAUUGUAGUCUUAUGAGUCCAAUUCCAUUAAGUCUGAGUGUACCAUAAUCACAUAAAUGCACUUGUCAGCGUGGAACGUCGUCUGUAUUCUAAAAAGUAAGAAGUGUUUGUUGUAUUCC